UACAGAGGGUGCAAGCGUUGUUCGGAAUUAUUGGGCGUAAAGCGCGUGUAGGCGGCCUAGCAAGUUGGGUGUGAAAGCCCUCGGCUUAACCGAGGAAGUGCGCCCAAAACUACAAGGCUUGAGUACCGGAGAGGGUGGUGGAAUUCCCGGUGGUAGAGGUGAAAUUCGUAGAUAUCGGGGAGGAACACCCAGUGGCGAAGGCGACCACCUGGACGGAUACUGACCGC
rnacentral:rRNA from 1 species